AAAAACAUUAGGAGUGUCGUUGCCGAAUAGCCGAUCGAGCGAAGAACCUGAGCUGAAGAACACACGCACGCGAGAGAGAGGAAAGUCCUUUUGUGCCGCAGCUAACAGCGCAGCGUUUUCGGUUUCAUUCCUUUUCCCUUAUAUCCUGGUACAACCGAAAGCCUAGCUAACAAACUCCGGCCAGCCCGUCGUGAUCCGGAUUGAUUGCGCCAUCCCACGACCUCCUUCUCACAAACGUGCCACUCUGACCGGGUUUACAGAAAAAACCAACAAAGGGAAAAAUGGGAUCGUGCUUAGACCACGUCCCAGCUACGUACAUGCUGCAUACUGACCUAAUCGGUUAGCAUGUGCAAUGCCGAUGCUGUCAGCAGUUCAGGGGUAAUGAAAGGAUCACUUCAGGCAACAAGUGUAUAUACACAUGGUUCCCAAAAUAUUAAAUAUAUCUCUAAAUACCACUGAUUCUCAGCUCUAAUUAGAAGACAAUGUUAAGAUCCGCAUCUUAAAGCAAAAAAAAAAAAAAACCCACUGAAUCUAGCAUUCUCCAAUUAUUCCCCAACGAAGAAAAAUACAAUCAUAAGCCUCGCGAUGGGGAGGGUUGGCCCAUCGCCGCGCUUAACAAUCCCGUAAAAUAGCAAAAUGGCUACAGUAGCGACCCUUCAAGUACAAUAGAUGAAUUGGGCAAUCACCCAAAGGUCCUUUGGGCCGAGCAGGUCUACCCUUUAUGCCACAACAACAUGCGCCCCCUCAGAUAUUCUUCUCACACAUAGAGCAUAGUCUCAACUCUCAAAGAUAGGGAAAAACCAAGUCCUCACCGCCAUCCUCCUGAUGUCUGCCAAGUAUGCAUGGACGAGUUCCCCGGCCAUUUCUACAUCCGGUGGCCUCUAGCUAGUUCACAUUUUGCUACUCUAUUCGCUGCUUUGAUUCUCUUACCCCUCGCGAUGGCCUUGCCUUCAAUCUCUCCAAAGGCCACCAAGGUAUCGAACAUAUAAACCACGCUAGGCAACUCGCCUAGCGAGGGCACUUGCAUCCCGCUUUUGAUCUCGUUCGCUCGAUCUGCCUUGCUGGAGGUUUUUCACCCCGGUGUCAGAAAUCCCACAGCUUGUUUCUUUCCACACCACUCUUUCUUGCUCAGGCGGAUGACAAGUGGGCCUUCGUCUCUCACGGGCCUAGUUUGGAAGUGCGCGUGCUGUGUGUUCGUCGCCCGCGCCUUGCGUGAAAAAUACAUUAACCGCGGCCAUCGUGGAUGAUUCACCCACCAAUCCCGUGUCCUCCUCCCCACCAAUCGCCCGUCCUCCUCGAGGCCAGGGCACAACAAUAGCCAUGCCUCGCCGCCACCUCUCCUUCCCCGCUCAUCCUCUCCAGACGCCGCCGCCGCCACCCCUGUCUCUCCUCCUCUCUCCUCAUCACCAUCAUCACGCGUGCCCACCCAACGAAUCAGGUGGCCAGUGCGGGAUGCAAUGGCGCAUCUGGCCAGAGGAGAACGGAGCGGCUGCAUCUCCUGGCAACGGCAGUGGGGGCGGGCGAGGUUGCAAGGUGACGGCUGAGGCGGCGGCGGUGCCAGCGGAUGGAGGAGCCGCUCUCAGGUCGAGUUGGGCUGGCAAGACUGCAGGGCGACGGCCCCAGGCGGGGGUGCAAGGAUCCGGUCGGUGUGCUGUUGCUGCCGCCGACAGACAGAAGAGGCGCCCUCGGCUGGGUCGAAGUGGCAGCGCUGUCGGUGAUGCCAAGGGGCAAGGAAAUGGGCAAGCAAGACCAGAGAGGGAAGGAACAGGGCGUGGCCUCACACACUGGCUCGUCGUCAGCUUCACCGUUACUUGUAGCUGAAGAAGACAGAUACCAGCAGCCGAUGGCGCCGUCCCAGCUGGUGUUGCUUACCACAGGCUCUGAGGUAUGGUAGGAUGCGAUUCUUAUUUUGAAGAGUGGCACGCUCGAGUUGUGAAUCUGCUGCCAUACGUUGGCUGAGGAAAAAAUAAUGGCACUUAUAAUAUUUGUGCAGCCAAGUUUGCGAGAUUUACAGACUUGAUGCAGUAACACUGUAAAUAGGUAUAGAUUCAGACCUCACCAAAGACAUGUUCAUCCUAUUGCUUGCCUCGGUAUUCCAUAGAUUAUCUGCCCUGUAUGCCUGUUGCUUUCCUAGCUUGGUAAGUUUGUUAGCCUGAAUUUUUUGAGGUGAAUAUGCUAAGUUUACAUGUUGUAAAUAGAUUAUGAUCUAAUAGCCAGCAAUCUCUCCGCACAUUCGCUCACAGUAGUUUGUGUCAUUGAUGUUUUUCUUAAUCUACACAUGCGCUUGUAUCAUGCUCCUCAUAUAUUAGAAUAGAUCAGUUUUGUUCUAAGGUUUUAUUCAUUUAUUUAUUUCUGCGAGGUGGCUAUCCAGUAUUCAAAUUAACCAGACCAUUUUUUACUUACCUAUAGACCAUUUUAGAUCUACUCUGACAACCAAUACGGCCUUCAAGUCCACUAGAAGAAGCAGCUUGUGAAGCAUCCAAGUGGUUAGCCUAGAGCACAUGAAACAAUUACCAGCUCAUCAAAAUUUAUAGCUGAAGUUAGAUAAAAAAAUUAGUAACAGUGAUCAAGUGGAUGUACACCCAACUGGAUUUAUAGUUGAAGCAGAAAUAAAAGGAAACUAGCAACAAAAUAGAUGUGUUACACGAGAUCUGACUUAAAAUGGCAGAUUGCUUGAAGUUGCAGAACUAGCUAACUUGAAAUUACCUCAGGACCAAGGGGGUCUUCUGGGUGUCUUUCUCUACGUACAUGUGAAUAUUUAUAUCCAGAGGAUCCAAUGGCACCAUUCAGAGUGACAUUAGCUGUUUGCUGAACGUUAUUUCUAUCAGAUGCAUUAUCCCCUUGAGUUAUAGCCUAUAGUUCCUCACUUCCUUUGAAGUUCUUGCAAUCCAUACAUUUACAAUUCUUGGAGCAAAGAAUAUUUGCUUGAAAGCAUUCACAGUACUUCUUGAGACACCCUGAUUUUUUGCAGUGCCAGCCUUUAUUAUGUUUGGGAAGUGAAGGUGCUCUAGCAUCCUGAUGGCAGCGAAGAUUAGUCAAAUGCACGAAAAAGAAUCACAAGAAAGUAUUUUAUUUAAAUGCAGUAAACUUAUUUUUGAGUAAUCAUGUUCUUUUUCUGUUUUCCAGGAAGGUACAAAGGCUAAGGUAAAAAAUGAUUUUAGUGGGAGAUUCAACCUGGGAGAGGUGCGCAGAACUACUCAAGAAAAGAGAUUCUACAACUUGAAAAGCACCUCAAGGAAUUGUUAUUUCUGAUUGCAGUUGCAUCCCAGGUGGGCUGAGGUGAUAACAACUGAAUUCUGUUCUACUGCAGAUAGAUUCCGUAUGCACUUAUAUUUGCAUGGGCCCAAGGAUAGUUCUCUUUAUGUUGUAGUACCACUUACAAAUGUAUAUUCUGUGAAAGGAAGCGGAUAAUUUAAAUGGGCCCAAGGGACUUGUGGUGAGGCCUACAAGGCUGGAACACUGUCUCUUGGAUAUUCAUUUGUCAACUAAUACAUGACCAUACUAGAGAAGCACACACCACGCACACACAAGGACCCUAACAUGUUGUAUAUAUGUAUGUGGACAAUCUUUAAAUACCUGGAUGAUAAUCAUUUAAAUACCUGAAUGAUUAUUCUGCAUAAACAAAGUCAUAUUGUCA